rnacentral:miRNA from 1 species
UUCUCAAAUGACUGGGCUCUUGUUAAAAUGCAGACUGUGACUCAGCAGGUCUGGGGUGGGUCCAAGACUGCAUUUCUAACAAGCUCCCAGAUGUUGCUUGA